UACGUAGGGUGCGAGCGUUGUCCGGAAUUAUUGGGCGUAAAGGGCUCGUAGGCGGUUUGUCGCGUCGGGAGGGAAAACCUCGGGCUUAACUCGGGGCUUGCUUUCGAUACGGGCAGACUGGAGGUAUGCAGGGGAGAACGGAAUUCCUGGUGUAGCGGUGAAAUGCGCAGAUAUCAGUAGGAACCCCGGUGGCGAAGGCGGUUCUCUGGGCAUGACCUGACGCUGAGGAGCGAAAGUGUGGGGAGCGAACAGG
rnacentral:rRNA from 1 species